AGCAGUAGCCACGGUAAUACAGAGGGUGCGAGCGUUAAUCGGAUUUACUGGGCGUAAAGCGUGCGUAGGCGGCUUUUUAAGUCGGAUGUGAAAUCCCUGAGCUUAACUUAGGAAUUGCAUUCGAUACUGGGAAGCUAGAGUAUGGGAGAGGAUGGUAGAAUUCCAGGUGUAGCGGUGAAAUGCGUAGAGAUCUGGAGGAAUACCGAUGGCGAAGGCAGCCAUCUGGCCUAAUACUGACGCUGAGGUACGAAAGCAUGGGGAGCAAACAGGAUUAGAUACCCGGGUAGUCCCUGUAUCUUAUAC
rnacentral:rRNA from 1 species